rnacentral:tRNA from 1 species
CAUUAAGAAGCUAUAUAGCAUUAACCUUUUAAGUUAAAGACUGAGAGUUUAAACCUCUCCUUAAUGA